rnacentral:misc_RNA from 1 species
AACGCACAUUGCGCCCCCUGGUAUUCCGGGGGGCAUGCCCGUUCGAGCGUCAUUACACCACUCCAGCCUCGCUGGGUAUUGGGCGUCUCGCGAGGAGCAUCCACCGCGCGCCUCAAAUCGUCCGGCUGGGUCUUCUGCCCCCUAAGCGUUGUGGAAACUAUUCGCUAAAGGGUGUUCGGGAGGCUACGCCGUAAAACAACCCCAUUUCUAAGGUUGACCUCGGAUCAGGUAGGGAUACCCGCUGAACUUAA